rnacentral:rRNA from 1 species
UGGUGCCAGCAGCCGCGGUAAUUCCAGCUCCAAUAGCGUAUAUUAAAGUUGUUGCAGUUAAAAAGCUCGUAGUUGGAUUUCUGUUAAUAAUUUAUAUAAAAUAUUUUGAUGAAUAUUUAUAUAAUAUUAACAUAAUUCAUAUUACUAUUUUUUUUAGUAUAUGAAAUUUUACUUUGAGAAAAUUAGAGUGCUUAAAGCAGGCAUAUGCCUUGAAUACUCCAGCAUGGAAUAAUAUUAAAGAUUUUUAUCUUUYUUAUUGGUUCUAAGAUAAGAAUAAUGAUUAAUAGGGACAGUUGGGGGCAUUUGUAUUUAACAGUCAGAGGUGAAAUUCUUAGAUUUGUUAAAGACARACUAAUGCGAAAGCAUUUGCCAAGGAUGUUUUCAUUAAUCAAGAACGAAAGUUAGGGGAUCG